UAGCCUUGACAUACUACAGAAUUUGACAGAGAUGUUGAAGUGCCUUCGGGAGCUGUAAUACAGGUGCUGCACGGCUGUCGUCAGCUCGUGUCGUGAGAUGUUGGGUUAAGUCCCGCAACGAGCGCAACCCUCGUCCUUAGUUACUAACGGUUCGGCCGAGGACUCUAAGGAGACUGCCUUCGUAAGGAGGAGGAAGGUGAGGACGACGUCAAGUCAUCAUGGCCCUUACGGCUAGGGCAACACACGUGCUACAAUGGUUAGGACAAUGAGAAGCGAUACCGCGAGGUGGAGCAAAUCUAUAAACCUAAUCUCAGUUCGGAUAGCAGUCUGCAACUCGACUGCUGAAGCUGGAAUCACUAGUAAUCGUAAAUCAGCUAUGUUACGGUGAAUACGUUCCCGGGUCU
rnacentral:rRNA from 1 species